GAUGAACGCUGGCGGCGUGCCUAAUACAUGCAAGUCGAGCGAACGGACGAGAAGCUUGCUUCUCUGAUGUUAGCGGCGGACGGGUGAGUAACACGUGGAUAACCUACCUAUAAGACUGGGGUAACUUCGGGAAACCGGAGCUAAUACCGGAUAAUAUUUUGAACCGCAUGGUUCAAAAGUGAAAGACGGUCUUGCUGUCACUUAUAGAUGGAUCCGCGCUGCAUUAGCUAGUUGGUAAGGUAACGGCUUACCAAGGCAACGAUGCAUAGCCGACCUGAGAGGGUGAUCGGCCACACUGGAACUGAGACACGGUCCAGACUCCUACGGGAGGCAGCAGUAGGGAAUCUUCCGCAAUGGGCGAAAGCCUGACGGAGCAACGCCGCGUGAGUGAUGAAGGUCUUCGGAUCGUAAAACUCUGUUAUUAGGGAAGAACAUAUGUGUAAUUAACUGUGCACAUCUUGACGGUACCUAAUCAGAAAGCCACGGCUAACUACGUG
rnacentral:rRNA from 1 species